rnacentral:rRNA from 1 species
CCUACGGGAGGCAGCAGUGAGGAAUAUUGGUCAAUGGACGAGAGUCUGAACCAGCCAAGUAGCGUGAAGGAUGACUGCCCUAUGGGUUGUAAACUUCUUUUAUAAAGGAAUAAAACGAGGCACGUGUGCCUUUUUGCAUGUACUUUAUGAAUAAGGAUCGGCUAACUCCGUGCCAGCAGCCGCGGUAAUACGGAGGAUCCGAGCGUUAUCCGGAUUUAUUGGGUUUAAAGGGAGCGUAGAUGGGUUGUUAAGUCAGUUGUGAAAGUUUGCGGCUCAACCGUAAAAUUGCAAUUGAUACUGGCAGUCGUGGGUACAGUUGAGGUAGGCGGAAUGCGUGGUGUAGCGGUGAAAUGCUUAGAUAUCACGAAGAACUCCGAUUGCGAAGGCAGCUUACUAAACUGCCACUGACAUUGAUGCUCGAAAGUGUGGGUAUCAAACAGGAUUAGAUACCCGUGUAGUC